rnacentral:sRNA from 1 species
UAUGGCUAUGUCCGCUGAUUACGAACU